rnacentral:rRNA from 1 species
GACGAACGCUGGCGGCGUGCUUAACACAUGCAAGUCGAACGAUGAAGAAAAGAAUUGCAGCUUCGGCAGAAAUUCAUUUCGGAUUAGUGGCAGACGGGUGAGUAACGCGUGAGCAACCUACCUCUUACAAAGGGAUAGCCUCGGGAAACCGGGAUUAAUACCAUAUAACAUUGCGACGAAGCAUUUCGAUGCAAUCAAAGCUACGGCGGUAAGAGAUGGGCUCGCGUCCCAUUAACCAGAUGGUGAGGUAACGGCUCACCAUAGUAACGAUGGGUAACCGGCCUGAGAGGGUGAACGGUCACACUGGAACUGAGACACGGUCCAGACUCCUACGGGAGGCAGCAGUGGGGAAUAUUGCACAAUGGAGGGAACUCUGAUGCAGCGACGCCGCGUGAGUGAUGAAGGAAUUCGUUUCGUAAAACUCUGUUCUAUGGGAAGAAAAGGACUGUACCAUAGGAGAAAGCCCCGGCUAAAUACGUG